AGUGAUUUCCUCCUAUAUAGAAUAGCAUGUUUUUAAAAUAAUUCUCUUUCUUAUGUACCGUUCGGCUGCAUUCGGCUUCAGCCAAGCGCUUGCACUCGAUGACACGGAAUGUUGUUUACAUCUAAAAACGUGGCGACAUCAGCUGAGAUAUGCAGUGGAUUUAAAUGCAAUAACCAGACAUUCUUUAAAGAAAAUAGGGAUAAGAUAAGAGACAAGGCAUUGUUUAUCCCUAUUACGAGAAUAUGAGGACAUUAUUACAGAAAAUAAUGGAAGACUGAGACAAUCUGCACUAGCUCCUUAGAUCCAUCACUGCAGUGCAUUCAGCCCAGGUCAGUCAAGAGUUCCAGGCUUGAAGAAUAAAAAAAUACAUAAUGCAUCCAUAUCUCCACAGGCUAUUCCUAAAGAAUUGAACCAAUGGAUUCAUUCAGGCGGAAAGUUAAUCCAUCAUUUAAGGAAAAUGAAUUGAUUUCAUCUACAAGAACAUGAAGUGAUGGAAAUAAUUUGCAGCUGUUCAGUAUUCCUUGUACAGUCUACCUUAAUUUGAAAAGCUG